rnacentral:lncRNA from 1 species
AGAGAGAAGUGAUUACUGCAUUAACUUUGGAUGAGAAUGCAUCCAAUACAUUUAUACAAGUGUUACAAUAUGAUUGGAAUCCAAAACAAACAUAUGAAUAACAGAAAAAGUGCAAAACUCGGGCUUGUAACCGAUUACACCAUUUGUUUAACCGGUUAUAACUGGCAUUGAAUUAAAUGACAUUCACUGGUAACCGGUUAACGCCUGAGGUUAACCUGUUACAGCUGCUAAUAUUUGCCUUUCCUGCUACUUCAGAAUUGAAACUGCUGAUGUUAUAAC